rnacentral:rRNA from 1 species
GGGACCUUGUGUCGGGAGUAGCGCACCUAACGCACUAAGUAGACCGCCUGGGGAGUACGGUCGCAAGAUUAAAACUCAAAUGAAUUGACGGGGGCCCGCACAAGCGGUGGAGCAUGUGGUUUAAUUCGACGCAACGCGAAGAACCUUACCUACUCUUGACAUCCAGAGAAGACUGCAGAGAUGCGGUUGUGCCUUCGGGAACUCUGAGACAGGUGCUGCAUGGCUGUCGUCAGCUCGUGUUGUGAAAUGUUGGGUUAAGUCCCGCAACGAGCGCAACCCUUAUCCUUAGUUGCCAGCACGUAAUGGUGGGAACUCUAGGGAGACUGCCGGUGAUAAUCCGGAGGAAGGUGGGGACGACGUCAAGUCAUCAUGGCCCUUACGAGUAGGGCUACACACGUGCUACAAUGGUAUGUACAGAGGGAGGCAAGCUGGCGACAGUGAGCGGAUCUCUUAAAGC